rnacentral:rRNA from 1 species
UACGUAGGGGGCGAGCGUUGUCCGGAUUUAUUGGGCGUAAAGAGCGUGUAGGCGGUUCGGUAAGUCUGUCGUGAAAUCCUGAGGCUCAACCUCGGGCGUGCGAUGGAUACUGCCGGGCUAGAGGAUGGUAGAGGCGAGUGGAAUUCCCGGUGUAGCGGUGAAAUGCGCAGAUAUCGGGAGGAACACCUAUUGCGAAGGCAGCUCGCUGGGACGUAACUGACGCUGAGACGCGAAAGCGUGGGGAGCAAACAAG